rnacentral:rRNA from 1 species
UACGUAGGGUCCGAGCGUUGUCCGGAAUUAUUGGGCGUAAAGAGCUCGUAGGCGGCUUGUCGCGUCGUCCGUGAAAACUCACAGCUCAACUGUGGGCGUGCGGGCGAUACGGGCAGACUAGAGUACUGCAGGGGAGACUGGAAUUCCUGGUGUAGCGGUGGAAUGCGCAGAUAUCAGGAGGAACACCGGUGGCGAAGGCGGGUCUCUGGGCAGUAACUGACGCUGAGGAGCGAAAGCGUGGGGAGCGAACAGG